GAUUUCCAGCCUGGUUCCUCCACCGAACAUGAGCCACAGUGAUACAAACUCACUGAGCCGUCGUACAAAAACCUCUGACUGUAGAGACACACAACUCUGUAACACUGAAACAAAGAAACACGCAAAAAUCAAAGUAUUUGUGCAAAAAAAAAAAAUCACGUGACAAUGAACAACAACUCAGCAAGACAAAUUUCACUUUGUGUUCAAUAAAUUAUAAAACAAUUGAUGCUGAAGUGACGGAGUACAAUUGUGUUUACUGAACAAAACUUUCUGAUACAAACUGAUCAAUCAACGUAAACCUAAACACACAUAAAAGUAAAACAUUUCUAAACAAAACUCUGAUCAACUUAUUGAUCAUUGAUCAGCAUUUCAAUUGGGAGCCACUUUGCAUCAUCUGCACCACGCUCCAGUGAUUCUGGAGACUUUAUAGUGCUGACGGUGGAACACUGGAUGAUUGACAGCUGUCAUUCAGAAAUCAUCCUCAUCACAAUCAUGACUUUGAUGUCAGUCCUCGUCUGGACUCUGCUCUGCUGCUGCUUCACAGAGGUCAGAGGUCAGCUCACAGUCACUCAGCCAGCAGCAGUCAGCUCGACUUUGGGAGGCUCUGUCACCAUCACAUGCCGGACCAGUGUUAGAGUUGAUGAUGGUACUGACUUGUCCUGGUACCAAAAGAAAGAUGGAGAAACUCCUAAACUGCUUAUUUAUUAUGCCAGCAGACGAGCGUCAGGGAUCCCAAAUCGAUUUACAGGCAGUGGAUCAAACACUUCCUUCAGUCUGACCAUUAGUGGAAUCGUGGCUGAAGAUGCGGCCGUUUACUACUGUCAGGCUGUUUUCUAUGUUAACGGCAAACACGUAGUGGAAAAACCAUCGUACAAAACCCCCUCAGUCAAUGUGAACAGAAACUGA